UCUGGGCGUAAGGGCGCGUAGGCGGCUUGGUACAUCCAUGUGAAGGCCGGGCUCAACCUGGGAGGUAGCGUGGAUACUGCUCGGCUAGACUGUGGGAGAGGGUGGUGGAAUUCCCGGAGUAGCGGUGAAAUGCGUAGAUAUCGGGAGGAACACCGAUGGCGAAGGCAGCCCCCUGGACCAGAUGUGACGCUGAGGCGCGAAAGCGUGGGGAGCAAACCGGAUUAGAUACCCUGGUAGUCCACGCCCUAAACGAUGCGCGCUGGGUGUCGGGGGUUUCUGGGCGCCGAAGCCAACGUGUUACGCGCGCCGCCCGGCGAGUGCGGCCCCGAGGCUG
rnacentral:rRNA from 1 species